UGCAAGGUGCUUUAGGUUCUCAAUCAAAGCUCUGAAAUAAGCCUCUUCAAAACUGCCAUCCUUGGGCAAGAUUUUUCAAGGAACUUCCCAAGACCAGAGGCAGUAUCACCCAGAACUGGGAAGACUGGAAGCUGCUUAUCACGGGCCUUCACCCAGACUGCCACUCCCGAGAGGCAAACACAGGGGAGAUCGAGGAUGCAGCGACGCCGCCCAGGGAUGCUCUGCAGAUACCCCAAUUCUGGGCUUCCCUGGUGGUGUAGUGGUUAAGAAUCCACCUGCCAAUGCAAGGGACACGGGUUUGAGCCCUGGCCGGGGAAGAUCCCACAUGCCGCAGAGCAACUAAGCCCGUGCACCACAACUACUGAGCCCACGUGCCACAACUACUGAAGCCCAUGUGCCUAGAGCCCGUGCUCAGCAACAAGAAAAAACACUGCAGUGAGAAGCCCACGCACUGCAACUACUGAAGCCCACGUGCCUAGAGCCUGUGGUCCGCAAUGAAGAGGUGCCCCCGCUCUUCGCAACUAGAGAAAGCCCAUGCACAGCAACAAAGACCCAAUGCAGCCAUAAAUAAAUAAGUAAAUAAAUAAAAUUUAUUAAAAACCAA